UAGAAACCAACACCGCCUCCCUAUUUCCCCGUCGACUUCCUCGCGUCUCUGCCCGAAACCCUCCUCCGUCGACACAAAUGGAAACCAAGCCAACCCUGGCACCACAAAACUAAAUCCAAGCUAUGCACGUCGAAAAAUUGUACAAUCUAAUUCCAUCACUUCUAGAUCUUUUAUCCAGUAGAAACCUUAAUCGAAUCCUUUGUGGUGAAAUGGCGCAACCGACAAAGAAGCUCUUCGACAUCAGCUCGUAAAACAUCCUACUCUAUCAGAUGAAUAGGCAAACUAUCAAGCAAACUAUCGAUCUGCAAAAAACGCACUAGGAUUUUGAAGCUAAAAACUAAUUGGAAAAGCUACGCACAAAGAAAUGAAGAUAAGUAUUCUAGUACAUAAUUUUCUACAUACCUAGCGAAAUUUUCAAAACUGUGCCGUUAAUAUUUGCAUGUACUAUUCCGAUUUUGAAAUAUGGCAAUCUUUAUGUGCUAAAUGUAUAUUUCUCUUCAAUUUCAAUUAAGUCAUUAAUUCUGUUAAUUUAUAGAAAUAUGAUACUUUGUUUAAGUCUUACUUUGAGUUUCACUUUCAGAAUAUGUAAUAUUUACUUACAUUCUUACAAUAAAUGUAUUAUUUUUUCCAUAUCAAAUUGCAAACUGCAAUUCAAUUUCAUAAAAACAUAAUUUCAACUAUUAUAUUACAAAUAAUAGGUUUUUAUUCAUGCUAUAAGAAAAAAUACUGCCUAAAACAUAGGUAAUUAUUUAAAUGAAAGUAUACCUUUAUUUCCAUGUUCAUGUUUUCUCUUGGAUGUACUUUUUGCAGAAUUCUCUAACUUCUUCAUUUGUGUAAUAUGCAACUUCCUAUCUGGCUUUAGAAAGAGGAAUUGGAAGGGAAAUGGCUCCAUCACACAUGAGAAAAUACCAAUUAUUUAUAAGUCCUUGAAAGAAUUGAUAAUAGCAAUAGAAUGAUUACCUAUUAAUAGACUUAUACUGAUUAGAUGACCCAUUUUAUUGGGAAUAUAGAAUUUGUGCAGAUUUGAUUUCAAUAUCAAUCUGCUCUAGUCAUUUGGUUCUCUGUUCAAUACAGUGGAAUUUGCACUUAUAACUGUUAUAUAUUUUAUAUAUUUAAUAGUUAAUAGUUUUUUGAAAAUAGUUAAUAGUUAGGACUUCAUAUUUAACAUUGGUGAGACAUGUCUUUUUUACCUUGAAAUCAUCCACUUUUCUGAAUUUUUGAUGUCAAUCCCCAAUAAUGGUUCAAUUAGGGUGCAACAUCCAUACUGUCCCAAUUGUUGAUUACUCAUGCUAUUUUUAUUUUUUUGCACGAGUCACAAAGACAUGAAGAUCACUGGACCACUGAGGACCUUUGCAGGCUAAAAACUGGAAGGAGCAAUUUUUUUUUUUUCUUUUCUUGCAUGAGUCCAAAUACAUGAAGAUGACUGGACUAUCAAGGAUCUUUGCAAGCUAAAAACUGGAAGGAAAAAAAUGAACUUGCAAUACUUGGACAAGUGUAUCAAAGCAUAAUUUUUUGGGCACUCAAAUGGAAAUCAAUACCACUGAAGUAAGGAGGGCAUCUCACAAAGUAAAUCAAGGAAUCUGGCCAAGCAGGACGAAUGACAAUUGAAACCCACUCAUACCAAAUGGAAAAGCUGUAAGUUAAAGAAGAACACAUGUAUUAGGAAGCAAAUGUCAGGUAACUACGAACCAGCUUUACACACAUAGCCUUCUUUGUUUGCCCUUGACGGAUUUCAGAACCAAGCAUGAACUGCUCAACCAUGGUGAAAAAGAAGAGAACAAUGUAGAUGAAGAGAUGCAAGAUAAUGCGAAUACGGAAGGAGAACUACAUCCACUGCCUAUUUAUAUAGGGAUUAGAUGUAAAUAAAAAAAACUCAUGAUUUCAUUUUCACACAUGGGCCGAGAAACAUCUGGAAAACACAACUAUACACAAUAACCUAAGUGUUUUUACUCACUAUUAAUUGCAAUAUUUAAAACCAAGAGAAGAAACAUUGGAAAU